GGCAGUUUCCAUUAGAAAAGGACAUACUAAACACAAAACAUGCAUGGAUUAGGGCAAAAUAAAAAAAAAAACAACAAGCCAACACAAUUCCAAGACUAUCCACAUCCAUAACCCAUAAAGCUGCCAGCUCCCAUUACAUAAAUGAUGUUAAAUUAGUUGCAUAAUAAUUCUAGUAAUUGUAAAAUUGCUUUUCUUUCACUCAGCAAAAAUCAAGAUCAAUUUUCCUUCCAAAAAGGGAAACAAAAUUACAAAUACAACCAUAUAUGAUAAAUCACUUCCCUUGUCCCCUUUCCACAGACAAAGAGAAUAUCAAGUUAAAAUUUCGCUUUCAAAAAGUAACCAAAAGCACCAGCUAAAUCCCACAAACCCAAAACCCAAACAAAUGACACGGUGUUCGCUUGUUCGAACACUCCAAUACUUGCAAAACUGCAAUUGAAAGCCCAAACUUCACAACAAACAUCAAUAUAUAUCGAAUCAGGUCCCAUUUCCAAAGAUCAAUUCGAUCGUUAAUAUAGCCACAUAAACAUCCAUCUAGAGUCUAGCAUACAUCAAGGUAGGUGAAAGCACAGAUCUAGAUCUAAAAUUAGAAACA
rnacentral:misc_RNA from 1 species